CAGUGCGAGAGUUCGUCCUGCCGGAAAACAGCACGGCGCGGCGGCGUUUUACGACGUCGGCGGUGAAAGGCUCCGGAAACCCUCCGACUUCUUACCUGAAGCGGGGCGAAAGGCUGCGGGAUGUUCGGUGUGGGCGACGAAGAAGACACCGACUUCCUCUCGCCUAGCGGCGGUACCAGAUUGGCCUCUCUUUUCGGACUGGAUCAGGCAGCUGCUGGCCAUGGAAAUGAAUUCUUCCACUACACAGCCCCAAAGCAGCCUAAGAAAGGCCAGGGAACAGCACCAACAGGAAAUCAGGCGACACCAAAAACAGCACCCACCACAACAGGCACUUCCACAGUAUUGGUUGCAACAGCAGUCCAUGCAUAUCGCUACACAAAUGGUCAAUAUGUAAAGCAGGGCAAAUUUGGUGCUGCAGUCCUGGGAAAUCACACAGCCAGAGAGUAUAGGAUUCUUCUUUACAUCAGUCAGCAACAGCCAGUUACUGUUGCCAGGAUUCAUCUGAACUUUGAGCUAAUGGUUCGGCCCAAUAACUAUAGCACCUUUUAUGAUGAUCAGAGACAAAACUGGUCCAUCAUGUUUGAGUCUGAAAAGGCUGCUGUGGAGUUCAAUAAACAGGUAUGCAUCGCCAAGUGCAACAGCACCUCUUCCCUGGAUUCAGUGCUGUCACAGGACCUUAUUGUAGUAGAAGGCCCUGCUGUAGAAGUUGGAGAUUCUUUGGAAGUGGCCUAUACCAGCUGGCUCUUUCAGAAUCACGGACUGGGCCAGGUUUUUGACUCCACUGCUAACAAAGAUAAGCUGCUUCGCCUGAAAUUAGGAUCAGGAAAAGUCAUCAAGAGCUGGGAGGAUGGAAUGGUGGGCAUGAGAAAAGGAGGGAAGCGAUUGCUUAUCAUCCCGCCAGCCUGCGCUGCUGGCUCUGAAGGGGUAAUAGGAUGGACUCCAUCAACAGACUCGAUCCUGGUGUUCGAGGUGGAGAUUAGGCGGGUCAAAUUUGCUAGAGAUUCCGGCUCUGAUGGGCACAGUGUUAGUUCCCGGGAUUCUGCAGCCCCUUCACCCAUACCUGGUGCUGCUGAUCCUGUUGUGUCACCGUCCACAUCUGUUCCUUUCAAAUCAGGGGAGUCAGUUCUUCGUUCCAAAUCUAACUCCCUCAGUGAACAGCUUACAGUAAAUACAAAUCCGGAUACAGUCAAGGCCAAGUUGAUCUCUCGGAUGGCUAAAAUGGGCCAGCCCAUGCUGCCCAUUCUUCCACCACAGCUGGAUUCCAAUGAUUCAGAAAUUGAAGACGUGAAUGCUCUUCGAGGAGCUGGGCAGCCUAUGGUGACUCCGUCCAUCCAGCCGUCUCUUCAGCCAGCCCAUCCAGUGCUACCACAGAUGACCUCACAAGCACCUCAGCCAUCUGUUUCUGGGCUCCAAACACCGUCUGCUGCCUUGAUGCAAGUUGCAUCUCAUGAUUCCCACUCAGCUGUAUCUGGAAACGCCCAGUCCUUUCAGCCCUAUACAGGUAUGCAAGCCUAUGCUUAUCCUCAGGCACCAGCUGUUGCUUCCCAGCUGCAGCCCGUCCGGCCCUUGUACCCCGCACCGCUCUCUCAGUCUCCUCAUUUUCAAGGAUCAGGUGACAUGGCUUCAUUUCUCAUGACUGAAGCCCGGCAACAUAACACUGAAAUUCGAAUGGCAGUCAGCAAAGUGGCUGAUAAAAUGGAUCAUCUCAUGACUAAGGUUGAAGAGUUACAGAAACGUACCACUAGCAAUUCCCUGCUCAUUCCUAGCAUGUCGGUGACAAUGGAAACAAGCAUGAUUAUGAGCAACAUCCAACGAAUUAUUCAGGAAAAUGAAAGAUUGAAGCAAGAGAUCCUUGAAAAGAGCAGUCGGAUAGAAGAACAGAAUGACAAGAUUAGUGAACUAAUUGAACGAAAUCAGAGGUAUGUUGAGCAGAGUAACCUGAUGAUGGAGAAGAGGAACAACUCACUUCAAACUGCCACAGAAAACACACAGGCAAGAGUUUUGCAUGCUGAGCAAGAGAAGGCCAAGGUGACGGAAGAGUUAGCAGCAGCCACUGCACAGGUCUCUCAUCUACACCUGAAAAUGACCGCCCACCAAAAGAAAGAAACGGAGCUGCAGGUACAGCUGACAGAAAGCAUGAAGGAGACGGACCUCCUCAGGGGCCAAGUCGCCAAACUGCAGGCAGAGCUCUCAGAGCUCCAAGAAACCUCUGAGCAAGCACAGUCCAAAUUCAAGAGUGAAAAGCAAAGCCGGAGACAACUGGAACUCAGGGUGACGUCCCUGGAGGAGGAGCUGACUGACCUUCGAGCUGAGAAGGAGUCUCUGGAAAAGAACCUCUCAGAAAGGAAAAAGAAGUCAGCUCAAGAGCGCUGUCAGGCUGAGGAGGAGAUAGAUGAAAUUCGUAAAUCACACCAGGAGGAAUUGGACAAACUUCGACAGCUCUUGAAAAAGGCUCGGGUGUCCACGGACCAAGCAGCUGCAGAGCAGCUGUCUCUAGUACAGGCUGAGCUGCAGACCCAGUGGGAAGCCAAGUGUGAACAUCUGUUGGCCUCUGCCAAGAACGAACACCUGCAGCAGUACCAGGAGGCGUGUGCACAGAGAGAUGCCAGGCAGCAGGAGCUGCUCCAUCUUGAGGAGAAGUGUUUAGCCCUCCAGGCCCAAGUCACAGCCCUGACAGAGCAAAAUGCACAACACAUCAAGGACCUGGAGAGCAAGUCCCAGAUGUCUGGGGUUGAAGCUGCUGCUGCUGCUGCUGACCCCUCAGAGAAGGUCAAGAAGAUCAUGAACCAGGUGUUUCAGUCCUUGCGGGGAGAGUUUGAGCUGGAGGAGUCUUACAAUGGCAGGACCAUUCUGGGGACCAUCAUGAACACUAUCAAGAUGGUGACUCUUCGGCUGUUAAACCAACAUGAGCGAGAGAAGGGAGAGAGCAGCAAUGAAGAAGAGGAAGAGGAAGAAGAAGAGGAGCGACCUCAGAGUGCUUCCGGACAGUCUCAGGCACCCUUGAACAGGGAGAGGCGGGAGCCCCCCAUGGUGCCGUCAGAGCAGGUGGUCCAGGAAGCUGCCCCGCUGCCUCCUCAGGCCCUCCCCACUCCCCAGGCUGAUGCACAGAGAAGGGAAGGGGAGCCCUCGGAAGCAGAGGCGCGCUCAGAGAUAAAAGAACCGGCUUGCCUCCCCUCCCGAAGAGCUCUGGGGCCCCCAACUUCAAUUCCCCCUGCGCCUCCAGGCCCUGUGACUGUGGACUCUGCGGGUGAGGAGGCGCUGGCAGCCAGCCCAUUGGGAGAUGCCUGUGUCGGGGAGCAAGAAAGCUCCACAAGACUGCCCCUGACUUCAGACCCCGAGAAGGUGGACCCGCUGGCUGUGGGGCCUGAAAGUCCAGGAGGAGAGCCUCAGGCUCCAGAGCUCCAGAAAGACGAGGAUGGCACUAGCUCCGCUGCUCCCUCCCAGGAGCCGCACGGCACAGAGGCAGCGUCUGCGGCCGUAGGAGCAGUGCCUGGAUCCGAACACCGUUCUCAGCAUCCCAGUCUCUCUGAGGAUGAAGAGGAUGAACUGUUUAAAGGGACAACUCUGAAAGUUCCCAGGCCCAAAGCACAGGCUGAGGAGGAGGAUGAAGACGAGGUGAGCAUGAAGGGACGCCCGCCCCCAACACCCCUUUUUGGAGAUGAUGAUGAUGACGAGGACAUUGACUGGCUGGGAUGAAGACCCAGGAAACUGGUGCAAAGGUUUCUCUACCAACCUUUCCCUAAGCAUGAUUUUGCACAUCCAGCCCUGGGUCUAGACGAGCCACAGGGUGAGGUGAAGGCAGUGCUAUCUGAUGGGAGGAGCUCACUCUAUUUGGAGGAUAGGUGAAAGCCUUGCUGACGGUCCUGCUUUUCUGCCUUUAGUCUGCUGUCACUCUCCCCCCAAGAAAGGGAAACAGGUCCUGCAGAUGCUGCCAUCAUCAUGAAACCUGCCCCCCGGGUUCUGGUCUCUCCGUUCACCCUCUGGUCACAGCACCCUUCUUAAGGCACAGAAACACUAUGUUUGGGCCCUCUGCAGCCUGGCUGAGGAGCUACAGUGGCCUCAACUCCAGGGAGCAAGUGCUGGCUUCAGCUGAAAGUUUCCAGGAGCUGGGGAUGCCGUGAGAACAGCCAACAGAAGAAAAAGGAGAUGUGGGGCUGGAAGUUCAAUGUCUGGAAGGAGGGGCCCCAGCUCUCUCCAGCUCCCAGAGCCUGCACGCUGUCACCAGCUAAGUCAUGCUGAGAAGUGGAUAGGCUAGGUAGUAGCCCACACCUGAGCCCAGGACCACGCCGAAGAAAAUCCAGGUGUUGUAGGACAUAACAGCCAGCAUCAUGAAGUAGCCGAUGACCACCUGAGCGACAUGAAGUAGAGACUGGCCGAAGUGACACAAGAACCACCUGGAUAAAAAGGAGAGCCAAGUCAAUGUUGGUAAUGAGCUGGAAGCUAGGAGUUGGUGUCAGGGAGUAGAAAGAGCAGCUGAGUUACAGGACUAGCUUAUUUAUAAUUUGUAUGCUCAACCCAGGAGAGAUUUCUUUUUAAAGAGACAUAUCAGAAAACAGUGAUUGAGAGGGGAAGAGGGACCUGUGCAAGGAGUUUAGGAUAAUCACUUCUCCACCACAUUUAGCUCUGAGCUUCCUGGUAUCCAGGGCAAAAAGGGAGAAUGAGAUAUGUAAUCUGUCACAUCUGACAAGGGAUAAUACAAAAUCAUCAGUAAGGCAGAUUUUUUUUUCCUGAAUCUACUGUGAGAGGCAGUAUUACAAUGGAAAGAGCAUGGACUUUGUUGACAGAUUAAUUCCUAGCUCUGCCACUUACUAACUGUGGCUUAGCACAAAUGUCUUAACCUAUUUGAACUUAAAUUUCCUCAUCAGUAAAACAGGUAAGAAAAUACGUCCCUUGCAGCGGGGUUGUGACUAUUUGAGGCACUCAUGUAAGAAACAGGCAGGCCCGUUAAGCACAGCUGGAGCUGCAGAGAGGGCAGAAGGGGGAUCCUAAGUGGCUGUCCUAUCAGAACAGGAAGGGAAGAAAGGAGAGAGAGGCCACCCCCGCCUCCACCACCAAGCUGGAUACAUUGCUGAUAGCAAUUCUUAUUUGUGGGGGGACAGCCACAGGUCCCAUCUUGGGUUUGGAAGCCUUAGUGACCUAAGGAAGCCUGCUGAGAUUUGGGGGAGGGCUGGGUGGACACCCCUGUUGCUAGACUGAGGCCUGCACCAGAGUCCUGAAGAUUGGAGCCUCCCACGUGGCUGUUCAGAGAGCUCCAGCCUGGGCAUUAGGAGACCUGGGCUCUAGCUCACGUCACUACUUACUAACCGUAAGCACUUCAGCAAGUCCUGGUCCUUCCCUGGGCCUCAAUUUCCUUUCUGGGAAGUGGGGCUAAGUGCCCUGUGGGCCCAGGCUAGCUCUCAGGGUGAAUGUAAGAACUCUGCCUUCCCCCCUCCCAACCCCCGCCGUCCCGAGUCUGUUACCUGAGGCGGGUUCUGCUGACGUUGGGGGAGUCUGAGCUUGUAGAAUUCUGGUCUGUCUCUUCAAUGAGCUGCUGGCUGGUGGAGAUGGACAGGCUUGUCAGGGCCUGGUGGAGCAGCCUGGCUUUGCCAACCUUGAUGCCUUCAUACAACACAGCCAGGAGCAAGACGACCAACACCGAAAGGGCCAUGCCUGUCAAAGGAGGCUGGGUUACAGAGGCCCAGCCAGGCAAGCACAGCUCCUCUUCUGCCAGCUUACCCGGGGAACUGGCACAGGAGGCAAAAGGGUACCUCCCCCAGCCACUGUGAAUCCAUUCCUUCUCCCUCCCUCUCUCAUCUUCUUCCCCACCCUUGCUGGGCUCAGAACUUCCUGUUGCUUUCCCCCUCCAGCCCUUUCUUGAUGGGGGUGGCCUACUGGAGUUUGGCUUUGAGAUCACGAAGAGAAGCUUCCCGGCAAAGCUGGGGGCCGG